AGCAUCGAUGAAGCCAAAAGGAGGGAAAAUGUCAACCCCGACAAUGAAGAUAACAUUCUGAUGGGGAAUGGUUCAGCUCCAAGAGAGACAGCUUGGAAAGGUCAAUACCAUGAUCUGCAUUUUCUUAAUUUGCUUAACUUUUUGUAUGGAUAUUGUGAUACUUUUAGAGAGGAAACAUUUAAAUAAAAAAUGUAUUAAUUAUGUUUAAAGUUAAAAUGGUUCUAAUUCUGUUUGUUAGCUUUUACCUGAUUUUGUUAUGCAUUAAAAGUAAAAAAAUGUGGCAAUUCCCUUUUUUCUGCCUUAUUAUCUUUUUACUUGAUGUUAUUAUGCAUUUAAAGUUGGAAUGUUGUUUAUUCUGUUGUAAUAAUCAUGCUAAUCCUUGUAUGAUGCAUUUAGAGUAGAAAUGUUGUUUAUUCUGUUGUAAACAUUAUCCUAAUUCUUGUUACUGUCCUGGUUCAUUCUUUUUUAUUCCUUACUCAGUUUUUAUUUUGUAUUAUGAUGCAUUUAGAGUUGAAAUGUUGUUUAGUGUGUUGUAGCUAUAUAUCAUGAUGCAUUGCUAACAUGGUGCUUGAAAUUUUGAUAUGUAGGGCUUGUAAGCAAUGACAUCUAUUAUAUUUGGAACCAUGGCCCGAAGUUUGGUGGGGGAUUUGAUUGUCGGUACUACCCCCUAAUCACUAGAGGAGGAGGUGCAACCCGCUUUAGGGAGCACCUUGGAGGUAUACCAGGUGAUGUGAGGGAGUGCCCUAAUGUUCCAAGAAAUAUUCGUGCUGCAAUGAGGGAAUCCCGGGAUGACUCAAUGCGGAAGAAGAGGGAAAAGAAAAAUCGUAGAUUUCGUUUGGAAAGGGAUAUCAUGGAAGGGUUGUACCAUGGAGAAGGGGUGAUAAAUAUUGAAGAUGAUGAGGAAGAGAUCCAGGCCGCACUUCGGGAGACACUAAGAGACAAGAAUGUCUCUCGCGCAGUUGAGAGGAGGCGUGGGAGUGGCAGUGGUGUUCGUGUGUCUCUUGGGAAACAGAGUAUCACAACAUACUUUGACAAGGAAUUGUCGAGCAACAAAGUACCAAUGCAGCCAAAGAUCAGCACUGCUUUGAAUGUUGAGUCAAAAGAUGUACUUGGCCAAGCUUGGGCAAAGUUUUUUCAUGCUAAUGACAUUGCUGGUCUGAAAGCAAAUUGUCCCUAUUUUCGUGCGGCUGUCAAGAUAACUCAAAACCUUGGCCCAGCUCCUGUUCCAACUGCCAAGGAGAUUGAUGGGAUAUAUUUGGACAAGAAUUAUGAAGAAGCUGAGCAGUGGCUGAAGAUGUUCAAGCAAGACUGGAGGAACUAUGGUGUAACUGUGAUGUGUGACUCAUGGACAGGGCCUACUGGUAUGAGUCUCAUCAAUUUCAUGGUGUAUUGCAAUGCACGGAUGUUCUUUCAUAAAUCCAUUGAUGCUUCUGGUCAAACUCAGACUGCAAGUUAGUUUUCCAAUGAUUGAAACUAUGUUUACGCAUGAUCAUUCAUUGUUAAUUCUGACUAGCCAUGGCUUGUUAGUUUUCUACAUGAUGUUAUGAUGCAUUUAUUGUGCAUUUAGAGUUGAAAAUCUGUUAUGUUUGUUUAUUCAUGGUUGAAACUCUGUUAUUUCUGUUUAUUCAUUGUUAAAUCUAUAUAUUAUGCUUUAUCCUAUUUUACUUGAUAUCACGGUGCAUUUAGAGUUGAAAAUCUCCUAUUUUGUUUAUUCAUGGUUAAAUGUGGCUAUUAUGCCUUUUCUAUUUUUUACAUGAUAUUAUGAUGCAUUUAGAGUAAAAAAUGUUAUUUCUGUUUAUUCAUGCUUAUUUCUGUUAUUACUCGCUUCAUUUUUGUUUCAAACAAAAAUUUACUUGCAAUUAAUUGGCAGAGUUUAUCUAUAGAGAGAUCAGAAAGGUCGUUGUGGAAGAGAUAGGUUCUGAGAAUGUUGUUCAAAUCGUAACCGAUAAUGGGUCAAAUUACAAGAAAGCAUGUAAAACUCUAGUAGAACAACCAGAGUUUAGUCAUAUUGUUUGGCAGCCAUGUGCUGCCCACACUGUUAACCUCAUGCUUAAGGAUGUUGCUAAGUUUCGUGAGAUUGACGUGAUAGUUAAAAGUGCUAAGUAGAUCUGUAGAUUUUUCUACAAUCACAAUAACCUACAUGAUAGCAUGAAAAAGAACAUUGGUGGUGAACUCAUAAAAUCGAAUGCGGCCCGGUUUGGAACGGUGUUCAUGUUCUUGGAGAGUUUCCAUUGUAAGAAAGAUGAGUUUAGGAAAUGGAUGGUGUCCGGUGAUUGGAAGGGAAGUACUUGGAACGGUGCUGCUGAUUAUGUGUUUGCUGAAGAGCUGCUAUCUAGUAAUAUGUGGUGGGCAGCUUUAGAGUGGGUUCUUGCUGUGCUAGAGCCACUCUAUAAAGCCCUUAGAUAUGCUGAUACACAAAAGAGAUGCACCCUAUCUGGAUUCAAGAAGAGUAUGAUGACAGCCAUACAAAAGUUGGAAAGUCAUCUUGGUGGUGGAUCACAAAUGUUUCAUAGAGUCAUGAGCAAGGUGUCCAAGAGGAUCGAUGCUAUGCAAGAAGGCACACUAUUGGUUGCAGGUAGUUACAAAACUAACUAAAUUUGUAUUAUGACGCUCUCUUUUCAUGGUUUUAACUUCUUUUGUUCUUCCUUCUCCUAUGCAGUUGCUGUUCUUGAUCCUUACACACAUUAUCAGAUCAACAUGAGCAAGAUUAUGGACUAUGCUCUUGCACUAACAGAUGCCAUUGAGAAGAUCGCAGACCCUGAGACCGCUGUUUUGGCCAUUGAUGAAGUCAGCACUUAUAGGGAAUGUCAUGGGAGGUUUGGCUCAAGGCUGGCACGUUCCUCUGCAGAGAAAAUGUCACCAAGUAAGUUCCAAUACCCCACUUGUAAUAUUCUCUAUUACCCCAGUUUUUGCAACUCAGUUCAUCUCACUAUGUGAAUUUUGUUUUAACUUGGCAGCUGAGUGGUGGUUCCAAUUUGGAGGGGAAGUUCCUAAUCUGCAGAAGUGUGCCUUGAGGAUUGUAUCACAAUGCGUUUCGUCAAGUGGCUGUGAGAGGAAUUGGAGCGCUUUUGCUUUGGUCCACACCAAGCAAAGAAACCGUCUUCUAUAUGGCAAGCUGCACAAGCUUGUAUCUGUGCGCUACAACUUGAAGGUAUGAAAUAUGUUUUGCCCAUAUGCCAUUAUUCACCCAUAUGCCAUGAUUCACCUGCAUACUGUUGUUUACUAAGCAUUGUUUGAAAUAAAGGAUGUUGUUUACUAAGUAAAUGCUACUAUUUAUUAAAGACUGUUACUAGGUUGUUAUUUAAAGUAAAUGUUGAUGUUUACUUAGCAAUAUUUAGAGUAAAGGCUGGUGUCUAAUAAGCAUUGUUUUAUACAUAGCGACUUUAUCCAUUUUAUUCUUUGUACUUCGUUGUCAUUGACUGAUUUUGUUUUCACAUUUUGAAGAUACGUGCUGAAGAAGAAGAAGACCCGGUGAGAGAGAAUGAUAAGCAGAAGGAAGUUGAUGCAUGUGCAAUGAUGAUGGAUACAACCAUGUUUGAUGCAACAAAUCCUAUGAUGGAAUGGUUGAAUGAGGAUGAGGAGCAUGCAAUCUUGGAUGGAGUUGAUGCUGCUAGUGUCGUAUUUGAGAAAAUACGUUUGCUUAUCUCAAGUAGGAAAGUUUCUCGUCUUGCAAGGAAGGACAAUGGCAGGAAAAGAAAGAGGGUAGAGGAAGAAGAGGAUGACUACCAUGAUAGUGAGGAUGAUGAUGAAGAAAAUGAGGAGCUGGACCUGGAAAUUGAUGAUGAUGAUGAUAGCCAUGAUGAUGGUGCAAGUCAAUCUGAUGGAGGAGAUUCGCCAAUGCAAGUUGAAAAGGAUUUAACAAGCCAAGUUGGAAACAAUGUUGAGGUAACAAGUGAUGGUAGUUUGGUGAACCGUAGAUCUGAACGGGUUAGGCAAGCAAAGAAGGUCAAGGAGGUCACCAGCCUUUACAAUUGACAAGUAAGUUCCUUGUGAUGACAUCAAAAAUUUCCCAUUUAUGCACUUUCUUAUAUUCUGUCAUAAACAUGUGGUGUUUGCUUUAGUCCAUAUGAUUUUAUAUGUUGUUUCAAUUGGGGUUGCCAUCUAUUAACUGUUGUUUCUGCCAUCUACUUGAUGUUUAUAUAAUUCACAAUGUGUUAGUCCAUAUGAUUCUAUAUGGUGUUUCAAUUGGGGCUGCCAUCUAUGAGUUAUUGUUGUCAUCUACUUGUAAUGUUUAUAUAAUUCACAAUGCUUUAGUCCAUCUAAAUUUAUAUGUUGUUUUAAUUUGGGCUGUCAUCUAUGAGUUGUUUCUUCCGUCUACUUGUAAUAUUUAUAUAAUUCACAUUGUUUCUGCCCAUAUGAUUUUAUAUGUUGUUCUAAUUGCGGUUGCCAUCAUUGAGUUGUUGUUUCUGCCAUCUACUUGUAAUGUUUAUAUAAUUCACAAUGCUUUAAUUGCAAGGUUAAGCGGCAUGGGAGCAAAAGAGCUUUUGGUUUGAUGAAGACUAACGGGUGGAUGAACAGGAAGUCCGAAGUGAAGGUCUCUGUUCGAUUCAAUACUUUUGGUGCAAGACUGAAGAGUUGAAGAACAGGAAGUCUGAAUUGAACUUUUUGUUUGUAUUUUGGGGUCGGCAUAAUUGAACUUCGAAUGCCGUGUUAAAUUCAUUAUGGACUGUAAUUCUGAACCGUUAUGGGUGUUCGUUUCGACUCUUGGUAGAACUAUUAAGUCGCAUGUUACUCUUAGUAUCUGAACUAGCAAGUCACAUGUUAAUCUGGACUAUCAUGUUGCUUUUCUAAUGGUUGCUGCUCUCCAAAUUGAUCCACUAUGCUAUUGUCUGAAUGGUUGCAACUA
rnacentral:lncRNA from 1 species